rnacentral:tRNA from 1 species
GGGGUUGUGGCUCAGUGGUAGAGUGCUCGCCUAACAUGUGUGAGACACCAAGUUUGAUCCUCAGCACCA